GAUUUCUGGCUUGAAACAUUUUGCCGGCCACGGUUUCGUGUGUUAGUGCUUGAUGUUCUGGCCAUCCUUCCAAUUGCUAUUCACCUUUCUUCAUUGAUUGGUGAGUGGUAUUGGAUCUUUUACUUUGAAAAAAUUAGAGUGUUUCAAGCAGGCUUUAUGCUAUGAAUACAUUAGCAUGGAAUAAUAAUUUAGGACUUCGGUUCUAUUUUGUUGGUUUCUAGGACUGAAGUAAUGAUUGAUAGGGAUAGUUGGGGGUGCUAGUAUUCAGCGGCCAGAGGUGAAAUUCUCGGAUUCGCUGAAGACUAACUUAUGCGAAAGCAUU
rnacentral:rRNA from 1 species